rnacentral:lncRNA from 1 species
ACUCUUAUGUUUAUGCAUAUCGUUUUUUAACUAAUGGUAUCUUCUAGAAAUCAUUAAUGUCAGUUUACAUCUGACUUUCUGCUGCUCUUCCUCUCACAUUAUUCAUGUUUGAAAGGCUGUUCAUAGCAUUUGUCAGAGAAUGGCUCUUUACCUUCCCAGUGCCAUCUGUUUGGACUGUGCAAGCGGGGAGAUAUUCCUACUUUGCAGUCUCUUUACAAAGAACAGGCUGCAUCCACCAUUUGCAGCUCCUGCCAGGGCAAAGAAUAACAACCAAUUGGGGAAUACAUAAAACAAAUUGGAUGAUGCUUCAGAGAGCCUCUGUAGCCCAACAAGAAAGCAGAAAGCACCAGUUGGAAAAGCUAAACCUUCCAGGAGCAUCUUGCAGACAUGCAGACAGCUGGGCGAAUGGAGGGACUGUGAAGACAUUCCUCAGCUGCUUCAGCAAAAGCUUUGGUCAGGUCAGCUUCAGAACCACGGGAAGCAAUAACACCAGGAGGAGUGGCUGGAACAGGUGGGGAGCAGGAAGGAUGGGAUGAGGGGUCUCCAAUUGGCUGUUUCUGUGGUGGACUCUCCCCAUUGCUUUAGCUCUGGGCCCCCUGUACACGGAGAACAGCUGUGGAUGUGAUUUGUCUCACUUAAACUGAGGCACAGAAAAGGUAGAUGCUGCAAUCUAAAGGAUGUUUCUUUUGCAACGAAUGGAGAUACACCUCCAAAGAGCUCUUUGUCUAACUUCUUGUAGAUGGCUAUCUAAGGAUGAGAUGAUUGUCCCCUGUAUCUUUCCAUGGACUACAGAAGGAAACUAGACCUGGCCCUUAGCAGUUAGCUUUUUGAUUUGUAUUUUGGGACAGCUAAACCCACCAUAUAGAGAAGGCAGGACUAGAGAUGGAUGCAAAGAACAAUCACAGGCCUAAUGAUUUCUGAGAUGAAAGGGGUGAAUACAUGGAAUGCAUUUAUCUUUUCAGUAUCAGAGUGAACGUCCUGUAAAUUCUCAGCUCUGCAGGCACUGUGGUUGUCUGUGCAUUUGAUGCAAAGCAACCAGGUCGUUAGGUGAAGUUCUCUGGCAGAGCUGUGUGCUGGGCCUGCAGAACCCUCAUCUCUCUUUGAUUCAGUGGAGAAGUACUGCAUUCCCCCCUGAUUUGUGGGUGUGAUCUCAAAAAGCAAAACUGGAACAGCAGGAACACAUUCCCAGAAGUACAACAGUGUGAUGGGGCUGUUAUCACUUAGACCAGCUAGAGGGUGGUUUCUGAUCUAGCUCCAAAUGCCAUCCAUCUAAACCUGCAGAAAUUAACCUCUGCAUCUUUUGAGAUGUAUUCAAAUCUACAGGCCUGAAAAGAUGCCCUGCGUUUCCCCAUAUGUCAGAGUAGUGAGGUCAGCAUGAAUUCCAAGUCCUGAAGCCACAGAGCUGAAGUGCAAACUUGGAGCUUGGGCUGUGGAUUGUUUCAGUGAUUCUACUAAGUCUGGCUUACAAGGGUAUUACUUUAAUCUACCAAUGACUUCCUUGCAUAUACAUGUAAUAAUAUACAUCAUCCUGAGUUCCUGGUCAUGCAUACGGCUGCUCAGCUAUGCACAGCCACCUUAUCAGUCAGGCUUCAGUGGUGGUGACUCUGUUGAAAAAAUGGAAGCAAUGAUAAGGAAAAGGCAGUAGAAACUGGAAAUGCUGUUUGCUGCGAACAGUGCCCCAGCUGAGUCCAGGCCAGACUGGACCUGAGCUCACUGAAGGAUAAGGGUCUGACUUCUUUUCCACCUGGUUCUCUGGUGUUUCUGCAUUGCCGGCCAGGGUUGGUGAUCAGCACCUGGACGUGCAGCUAUGGCUGUAAUUCACAGAUGUUAUCUGGGUCCAAUGGAAUCAAGGGGCAGAGCCAGGUUCGAAGUGGAUGCCGUGGCUGAACAUCACGGCUCACUCAGCCGCCCAACAGAGACCAUCUGGAUCGGGUUCUGUUCGUCCACCUGAGUUGGAAAACUCUGCCACAAGGAUGACGCCGGGCAGUGUGCAGGUCGUUCAGAGCUGCCGGGGGCUGCAGUGCUCCUCAUGGUCACUAAAGCUGUGAAGGUAAAGCAGCGGUUGCUGAGCUGUGCCCUGGAGACUGACAGCUCGUUUCUAAUGUCUUAGACUGCCAUUCACAAGAUGGAUCUUGCAGACUUCAGCACAUCUACAGCAUCGGGAACACCAAACGAUGAUGGCCAGAAGGUCGAUAUGUGCCCUCUGAGGAAACACCUUCAAGCAGAACCUCACUUUCUGAUCUUCCUGAAGUCUCAGAAUCCAGAUUACGCACCAUCCCUAUGCGGAAUCAGGACAACCUCCCUCUGAGAAUUCAGAGCCUGCAGGAUGCUUAGUAGGACAUGCCUGGAAUUACACAGAUUAUGCCUCCUUGCAUGGGAGAAGUAGAAAAGUCACAGCAUGGGUUAAAAAUACGCUUGUCUUCUCUCAAUAAUUAAUUGUUUAGGGAUUAACAUGAGGUUUUGUGUUUUGAAAGUAAACUAAUCCACUCGUUGGCUGGUGUGUAAUGAAGGAGAACAGGCUACUGUCAAGCAGGCUGAAAACAGUGAAAAUUAACUACAAGUGCCACGACUCACAUAUUUUAUGUAUAUGAGUAAUGUAUUCUCUGUGGGACAGAAGAUGAAAAUAUCACACAGAAAAGAAAAACACAGUGGCUACAAAUUUAAUAAAACAAGCAGUCAUACUUAGCCUCGCAGUAUAGUCUGGCAUUUUUACUGCCUGAUGGUAUCAAGGUUGGGCCAGUGCAAGAGAAUUCAUGCUCGUGAACUCACAAGAAGCACAGACUUCACUUUCUGCAGCCUCUCUGCUUGCAGAGCUAGCAAAAGGGAAGGAAAAUACAACUAAAACCAAGAAAACACUGAAUUAAAAU